rnacentral:piRNA from 1 species
UAUUGUGUGAAUGGUGGCUUUCAGGCUGAU